rnacentral:rRNA from 1 species
CUACGGGCCGCUCCAGUGGGGAAUAUUGGACAAUGGGGGAAACCCUGAUCCAGCAGUGCCGCGUGUGUGAAGAAGGCCUGCGGGUUGUAAAGCACUUUCGGUUGGGAGGACUGCUUCUAGCACUAAUAUUGUUGGAAGUUGACGUUACCUUCAGAAGAAGCACCGGCUAACUCUGUGCCAGCAGCCGCGGUAAUACAGAGGGUGCGAGCGUUAAUCGGAAUUACUGGGCGUAAAGCGCGCGUAGGCGGUUUGAUAAGUCAGAUGUGAAAGCCCCGGGCUUAACCUGGGAACUGCAUUUGAUACUGUCAAACUAGAGUAUGGUAGAGGGUAGUAGAAUUCCUGGUGUAGCGGUGAAAUGCGUAGAUAUCAGGAGGAAUACCAGUGGCGAAGGCGGCUACCUGGACCAAUACUGACGCUGAGGUGCGAAAGCGUGGGGAGCAAACAGGAUUAGAUACCCCGGUAGUC